UCAAGCGCGAGAAGGGCGUUUGGUGAAUGCCUUGGCAGUAAGAGGCGAUGAAGGACGUGAUACUCUGCGAUAAGCUAUGGUUAGCCGAGAAUAGGCUUUGAUCCAUGGAUUUCCGAAUGGGGCAACCCACCUGAUUAUAUUCUGUUAUUAUCUAGCUUCGGUUAGAUAGUUAUCAGGGUGUAAAACCAGGUACUUAUAGACUGAAUACAUAGGUUUAUAAGAGCAAACCCGGGGAACUGAAACAUCUAAGUACCCGGAGGAAAGGACAUCAAUUGAUACUCCCCUAGUAGCGGCGAGCGAACGGGGACCAGCCGAGCCUUGAAUGUGAUUAGAAUGGUCUGGAAUGGCCAACCAUAGUGGGUGACAGUCCCGUAUAAGAAGCACGAUAGGACGUAUUAAGUAGGGCGGAACACGUGAAAUUCUGUCUGAAGAUCGGAGGACCACCUUCGAAGGCUAAGUACUCCUUACUGACCGAUAGUGAACCAGUACCGUGAGGGAAAGGUGAAAAGCACCCCGACGAGGGGAGUGAAACAGUACCUGAAACCGAACGCCUACAAUCAGUUGGAGCGCCCUUGCGGCCUGACAGCGUACCUUUUGUAUAAUGGGUCAUCGACUUGGUCUAUCUAGCAAGCUUAAGCCGUUAGGUGUAGGCGCAGCGAAAGCGAGUCUUAAUAGGGCGAAUGAGUUAGAUGGAUCAGACCCGAAACCGAGUGAUCUAGGCAUGGCCAGGUUGAAGAUACGGUAACACUUAUUGGAGGACCGAACCCACAUCCGUUGAAAAGGAUCGGGAUGAGCUGUGCCUAGGGGUGAAAGGCCAAUCAAACUCGGAGAUAGCUGGUUCUCCGCGAAAUCUAUUUAGGUAGAGCGUCAUCCGAAUACCCCGGGGGGUAGAGCACUGGAUGGGUAAUGGGGCCCCACAGGCUUACUGAUCCUAACCAAACUCCGAAUACCCGGGAGUAAUAGAUGGCAGACACACUGCGGGUGCUAACGCCCGUAGUGAAAAGGGAAACAACCCUGACCGACAGUUAAGGCCCCUAAUUCAUGGCUAAGUGGGAAAGCAGGUGGGACGACCAAAACAACCAGGAAGUUGGCUUAGAAGCAGCCAUCUUUUAAAGAUAGCGUAACAGCUCACUGGUCUAAUUAAGUUGUCCUGCGGCGAAGAUGUAACGGGGCUCAAGCCAUGAGCCGAAACUUCGGAUGCAUUUAAUGCAUGGUAGCGGAGCGUAGUGUGACAUAGUUCCAUGCGUCCUUCGUUUUAUAGCGGACUGCCCAGGCUUUCGAGCCUGUGUGGAGGCGCGUAAAAUACUGGACGCAAGGAGCUUUCUGUGAAGCCGGCCUGUGAGGGAUCCGGUGGAGAGAUCACUAGUGAGAAUGAUGACAUGAGUAACGACAAAGGGGGUGAGAGACCCCCUCGCCGAAAAUCCAAGGGUUCCUGCUUAAAGCUAAUCUGAGCAGGGUAAGCCGGCCCCUAAGCCGAGGGCGAAAGCCGUAGGCGAUGGGAACCAGGUUAAUAUUCCUGGGCCAGGAGGAAGUGACGGAUCACAAAGAUUGUUGGAUCAGGCGUAGUUGCCCCAGCAGUUCAGUGGUUCCUGGAAAUAGCCCUCCAUCAGACCGUACCCUAAACCGACACAGGUGGAUAGGUAGAGUAUACCAAGGCGCUUGAGAGAACUAUGUUGAAGGAACUCGGCAAAAUACCUCCGUAAGUUCGCGAGAAGGAGGCCCGGUUUCUAGGCAACUGGAAGCUGGGGGCACAAACCAGGGGGUGGCGACUGUUUACUAAAAACACAGGGCUCUGCGAAGUCGCAAGACGACGUAUAGGGUCUGACGCCUGCCCGGUGCCUGAAGGUUAAAAGGAGGGGUGAGAGCUCCGAAUUGAAGCCCAGGUAAACGGCGGCCGUAACUAUAACGGUCCUAAGGUAGCGAAAUUCCUUGUCGGGUAAGUUCCGACCUGCACGAAUGGCGUAACGACUUCCCCGCUGUCUCCAACAUAAACUCAGUGAAUUUGAAAUAUCCGUGAAGAUGCGGAUUAGCUAUAGGUAGACGGAAAGACCCCGUGAACCUUUACUACAUCUUUGUAUUGUAAUUUUUUAAAAUAUGUGUAGGAUAGGUGGUAAUUUAAUAUUUAUAUUAAAUGUCCUUGAAAUACCACUCUUAUUUUAAAUAAUCACUCAUUCUAAAACAUAAGAAGACAGUGCAUGGUUGGUAGUUUGACUGGGGCGGUCACCUCCUAAAAAGUAACGGAGGCGUACAAAGGUAAGCUCAAACUGAUAUUAACAGUUGUAGAGUAUAAUGGUAUAAGUUUGCUUGACUGUUAGAUAGACAUAUCAAACAGGGACGAAAGUCGGUCAUAGUGAUCCGGUAAUUCUAUGUGGAAAGAUUAUCGCUCAACGGAUAAAAGGUACUCCGGGGAUAACAGGCUAAUGACUCUUAAGAGCUCCUAUCGACGGAGUUGUUUGGCACCUCGAUGUCGACUCAUCACAUCCUGGAGCUGAAGAAGGUUCCAAGGGUUCGGCUGUUCGCCGAUUAAAGUGGUACGUGAGUUGGGUUUAGAACGUCGUGAGACAGUUUGGUUCCUAUCUUCUAUAGCCAUUUGGAAAAAUGAGAGAAUCUAACUCUAGUACGAGAGGACCGAGAAGGAUAAACCUCUGAUGUAUUGGUUGUUGUUUAUAUUUAUAUAAAUGGCAUUGCCAAGUAGUUAAGUUUAUUUUAGAUAAUUACUGAAAGCAUCUAAGUAAGAAACUAUUCUCAAGAUAUUUUUCUUUUAAAAUUGUGGACGAUAACCACUUUGAUAGGUUUUAAGUGUAAGUGUUGUAAAAUAUUUAGCUUAGAAAUACUAAAAAUUUUAAUAUCUAUUUUU
rnacentral:rRNA from 1 species